rnacentral:misc_RNA from 1 species
GAUGAAGAACGUAGCGAAAUGCGAUAAGUAAUGUGAAUUGCAGAAUUCAGUGAAUCAUCGAAUCUUUGAACGCACAUUGCGCCCGCCAGCAUUCUGGCGGGCAUGCCUGUUCGAGCGUCAUUUCAACCCUCGAGCCCCCCCGGGGGCCUCGGUGUUGGGGGACGGCACACCAGUCGCCCCCGAAAUGCAGUGGCGACCUCGCCGCAGCCUCCCCUGCGUAGUAGCACACACCUCGCACCGGAGCGCGGAGACGGUCACGCCGUAAAACGCCCAACUUCUUAGAGUUGACCUCGGAUCAGGUAGGAAUACCCGCUGAACUUAAGCAUAUCAAUAAGCGGAGGA